GGAAGCUUGAGCUGGAACUGAUAUACAAAGUUCAUAUUUCGUAGUAAUAUGUACUAGGCUAACUUGUAUCGAAAAAAAAAUGUACUAGGCUAACUGAAAUCUUAAACUAGUGAUGAGUAUCUGGUAGUUUUUCUUUUGAAUUUAGGAUUAAAUUCACUUUACCCCCCUAAUUUUUAGUGUCAAAAUCAGUUCAGUCCUGUAAUUUUUUUUUAAAAAUUCAGUUCGCCCCUUUAACUUUGGUAAACACAUCAAUUUGGUCCAAUUUUUGAAUUCCUCUUAAAAUAUGAUGUCACCAAACUGACAAGGGGACCCAUUUUCACCAAACUGAAGGGUAAAAUAGUCAAUUUGAGAAGAUAUUAUUAAAGAAAACUAAAAAAAUACAUUUAUUUGGCAAAAAAAUGAGGGCAUUUUAGACAUUUUGUUAAAAAUGGGUCCUUUUUUCAGUUUGGUGACGUCAUAUUUUAAGGGGAAUUCAAAAAUUGGAUAAAACUGAUGUGUUUACGAAAGUUGAAGGGGCGAACUGAUUUAAAAAAAAGUUACAGGACUGAACUGAUUUUGUCACUAAAGAUUAGAGGGGUAAACUGAAAUUUUUUCUAGAAUUUAUCAUGUUAUUAGCAUAAGUUUUUGUUUUUAAAUUUUGAUUUAUUAAUUUUGUUCAGAAUUAUUUGUAAAUUUCAUAUUUAGUUUAUGAGUGCCUUUAUG
rnacentral:lncRNA from 1 species